AUGUACCUACAAACAACAAUUUGAAUCAUUAAUUUCAGUAAACAAAUUCGUGACACACGCCGUGACAGAGCAUAUUCCAGUUAUUAUCGCUAAAACCUUAAGAUUGUUCAUUCUUCUCAAACUAAUAUCAUAUUGCGAUUUGGAUUUGCCUUUUAUUUUAUACUAAUCUCACUUUACCCUUUCAAUUUCUGAUUCAGACGGGGAGGUACUAAUUUUGCAUAUAUGAAUGAAACACAUGUAUGCUGGAGCGUGGUUUUUCUGCCUACCAGUGAACAGAUCGAACAUUGGUGGUACAGGAAAUAAGGAAGCACCUGAGUUGCUAGUAAGUUGUAGCAAGUUCCUUUGUGUUUAGAAUUGUUAAAUUAACCAUAAUAUCUAAACUCAUACUUUCGAUCUUCAAAAUACUUUUGAUUUUCAAAAUGGCUGGUGUCAUAGGAGGAACUGGAAGAAGCAUUGGGACUGCAAGUAUAAGUUUAUUGGAAAUGAAGAGAUUAAAAUUGUGUCUAAACUAACUACAUAAACUAUUUCUGAAUAUUUACUUCAUUGUACAUAAACUUGUGGAAGCAUUGCAAGUUAGGAUAACUAACUUUACAUUUGAAGGAAAAUUAAAGAGUUAACUUGUGUUUGUAUAUGCAAUUGAUCUUAUGCACUCUUCUAAAAUUUUAUUUUGUGGUUAAGCAUUUUGAGGAGGCGUUGAAAUGCAUGAAAUUGAAGAAGCAUUGGGAUUGCCUGUAAGUUCAGGUUUGAUGAACAUGAAAAGUUUCUGCAAGUUAAUGAAACUAAACCAUGCCUCAAAUAUUGUUGGGAACCUCUACAAGUUGAAGAAAGUUGAUGUACGAUAUGCUUUUGGUGGUAUUAUCUUUGCCCUAGUCUAUUGCACUUCCGGUAUCUCAGGAGGACACAUCAGUCCCCACCAGUGACCUUCAGCUUACACAACCUUAUCUUCACGAAUCAUGACACCAACAUGCAAUGGGAAAGGUAAGGGAUUCUCGUGGACGUUUUUCGAAAAAGACACUGAUUCUUUAAAGAGCACAACAGCUUCCGGCCUUGCCAUUUAUGUGAAUUCAAAGCACGUGCACUCAGAAUCCGCUGAAAACACCAUGGGUCAAAACCGUAAAUUCACAUAAUUACUAGGUGAGUGUUAUCAACUCUAGGGAUUACACAGUCAGAACUCAAAAACGUUGUUGCUAUUUAUCGUUCAUACAUGAUCGCAAUAAUUACAAAUCCAUCGGAAUGAUGCUAUCUGAGCUGCGAAAAGUGGAGGAGAUGCGACUUCAAUGGGAUGAAGAAAGUUAUAUUUUGUUUUUACUAUUUUUUAAAAGAAGUUGUUGACCUGAUGCAUUCAUUAUUAUUAGAGAGGCGUAUCAAAGCAUGAUGUCAGAAAAGGGGAACUUGAGAAAUGGAAAGUUGGAUUCCUUUCGCAAGGGUUUUAAAGUUCUUGAAGCACUUGACCUCAUCAUAAGAAUUGUUGUGGAGAAGCACCAGAUUGAUUACCAACUCGGUGAUAUAAAGGGAAUUCUAGGGUUGGUGAUGACAUGAACAUCUAUGCGACAAUUGACGAUGGGGAACUGAAUUUUGAUUAUAGACAAAAAACGUAAGGCCUUUAUAAUAUUGCCACGUCAACAUAUCGAGUGGGGGUGAUCAGCUUGCAGCACAAAGAACACAUGUAUCACUUCUAAAUCUUACCAUGAUCAAAAUGUACCGGAUAAUGGAAACUUUUAUAAACUAUGCACUGUUUGUCAUAUUGGUUUUUAUUUUAUUAAGUUGUCACCGCAAACCAAAGGUACAGUCGGAUGAAGUAUUUGAUAUAUUCACGGGGGACAGAAAAUUUUAAGACGGUUGUUGAGCAGUGCUAUGGAAAGACGUUUGAACCUGCAUGAGAGUUGCUCGAGUUGGAGUUCAAAAGCCAUCUAAGAUGGCACACACAAGUUCAGUCUAUCACAUUAUCUUCACAUAGUUUGGUUUGCAAUAUGAUUAUUUAAAAUGGUUUUUACCGAGUUCUGUUCUGCUUUUAAGUUAUUGGUUGAUUACACCGUUUCAUGUUUUACUACUCUAUCAAUUUUGUUUUCUAUCGUUUUGUUUUGUUGUUAUAAACUCUAGACG
rnacentral:lncRNA from 1 species